rnacentral:lncRNA from 1 species
CAAGCACCUUCCAAACACGCUGCCAGGGGCUCUCAGGACCUGAGUGGGGCAGGAAGUGGCCAAAGGCCAGAGCAGACUGGAGGAUGUUACUGAGGAGGUUGGCGGUCUCAACUUGCAAGUGGCUGAGAAGAGCCGGCCCUGCCAGUCAGGCAGCAGGGAUCUUUGUUAGCUUGCUGCAAUGCUGGAGUUGUCCCUCGUGGGCCCAGAAAUAAGUCUGAGAAGACUACGGCUUCUCCAGGCUUUGGUCAACCUGUUAUCCUAUGCAGCCAGCCUCCAAAGGGCCUUCCUCUGCUCAGAUAGUUCAGGAUCAAGCCCAGUGUCCUCACCUGGGAGUUCAUGGCCAUCCCUGGGCCCUGCCUCCCCCACCGUGUGCAUCUCUACACAGGAACAGCAGACAUCAUGCCCCUUGUCCCAGUCUCUGCCUCCCACUACUCCACACACUCACCACCUCACGGUGACACCGAGAGUGCACAACGACAGAAAGACAAUUGACUUUAUCAGAACAAAAAACCUGUGCAACACUAUCAAGCUGACCUUGCAGAAUGGGAG